UUUUUCUUCGAUUUUCUCUCUCUAAAAAAAUAUUUUCUCUCUCUAACAAAAAAUUCUCUCUCUAGCUUAUAAGCUCAAUUAUCCAAACAUUUUGACAACUAAUAAGCUCUUAAAAAUUACAUCUUAUAAGUUCCAAGAGCUUAUAAGCUCUUUAAAAUAAGCUUAGCCAAACACCCUCUUAGUCCGCAUUCAAAGCAUAACUGCGUUAAGUACUAAAAUAAAUAAACGUAAAAAAAAACAGAAAAUAAAUAAAUAAAAAGAAAAAAGGGGCAUCAACAAGAUAAAAAGGAAAAUUUACCAAACAAGUACUAAUUAAAUAGAGGCACCCUUCCAUGCAA
rnacentral:lncRNA from 1 species